GACCAGCCUCGCCUGUCUACAACCUCCCUUCAGGUUUCUCCAGAAUAAACAACCCCAGUUCCCUUGGAUGCUCCAUGAUCACAUCUCCACUCCAAAUUAGCAGGUCUUCACACAGGAAUGAAGAACACUGUUCUCCAAGACUUCAGGAGACAAGGACCUACACAGUUACAUCCCAUGAGAAAUUCAAAUUACUGGUUUGGUGACUUAUCUGGUUGCUCUGGUGGCACUUCAGGACUCAGCAGGGUGAAGCUACAGCAUGAGGAAAGGGACAUGAUGUGUCCCUGGACUGUGUUCCUGCUGCCAAGGAAGCUCAUAGUGGCUGACAAAUGUACAGACAAAGCUGCAGGGCAUGGAGCUUCAGAGCCAGCGCUUGUGACUGCUCACACUUCCAGGCACAGAUGCACAUCUGGUCACAGCUGUACUUUGAAAGACACAGAAAUUGCUGGUGUCAUUGCUUGUGUCUUGUCUAGAGUGAAAAUCUGACCAAGAGCCAAGCAAAGGAGGACUGUGGAGGCUAUUCCCUGUAUUGGAUCUUGUCUAAUCACCUGCAUGUCACUUUCAUAGAAGUUCUGUAACCAGUCCCUGAUGAACAUGUUUGCUACAGAAUAAAGACAAUGCAUAGACCUACAAUUUUGCUUCCUCUUCUUCUUCUAGCUUAGAAGUGAAAAGAAAACAGUAUUAAAGUGAAGCAAAGUUGAAUGACUGCUUUUUCCUCCCCUCUUUUCCAAGAGAGUGUGGAUGUUGCACUCACCAUUUGCCAAAGCUGAGAGCUACACAAACACCCCACCAGGACCAGAAUCAUCCUUCACUGCUUUUCCUGCCCAGGCAAUCUCAAUGCUAAGUACAAAGAGAAGUAGUGCUUCCUAAAGACACCAUUAAAAAAGCAGUUAAUAUAAAAGAAAGGGAGACUUUUCCCCUAAUUUCUGUAAAGAAUGUCAGUUUCCUUUUAAGAGUUUGCCUUUCACAAAUAACCAAUUUUAAAUUACUGAAAAUUCAAAAGGAUUAUAUUGAAAAAAUCUCAGUUUUUACUUCAGGUGGACCUAAUUUUAUUUUGACUCUUCAUAAUUAGAUGGGGAACACAUUUUGUGAUUGGAAAUAUAUAUAAUAUAAAACAUCAAAGAAAAAUUGCAUAUAAGAGCUAUCUAUAAAUUCCAUUAAGGUAAAAUAUUAAUUUUUCAAACUUGAAUGGACAGUUUUAACUUCAACAGGAUCCUUCAUUUUCACAUAAUCUUAGGAUAUGAUAUUUUAAGGUUGACAAUGCAGCACAUUGUAAGAGAAUAUUUGACUGAAAAAUCACCACUAAAUAAAAAUGCAGGCAGAUCAGGUCAGGGCCAUUUUGCAUUCAUUCAGGACAAAGGGAAGUGUUUCCUCUCAGGGUCCUUGCCCUUGCCAAGCCUGAUGCUGUUGGCAGCAGCAGCUCCAGCUAAUGUAAAAUUAAUUUUACAUUAGUUGAAGAGUGGUGGGUAAAUUUGCUGGUAUCAGCCAUUGCACCCUGCAGCACAUAAGCUGCUGCUGUGAAUAAAAGACUGGCUGGGCUCCUCUGGAGAGCAUCUUCCUUCACACCGCCUUGGCCUGGCUCUGCAAAAACACCUCCGGAGCUGGUAACCAUCUCCCAGCCCUCGGGCUUGCACACGAACCUCCGCUGUGAAGUGCUGGCACACGACUGAAAGGCUUUUUGCGUGUUAAACUUAAUGAUUUGCUGUGCCUAAACCGAGGCAGCUGCAGGACUGCCCCUGCCCAGCCCUGUGCUACGAACAUCACCCACAAGGAGGAGCCCCACUUACAAAUAAUUCAUUUAGAGAAAAUACCAGAGUUCUGCCUUGGCCGUACCCAGGCUAAAGAGAUUAGCGAAGAACCACUCACUGAUAAAAGAAACAGUGGCGUUCUUUUCAACUAAACUCCCAACAGAAGGAAGAUUCGCCAGAUAGGGGAUGUUUGCCUAAUUACAUUAUCCCAACUUUUCCCAAUUACAAGGAGAACAAAUGUUUUGUGACUGGAAAUGAACCCAAAGAGAAGGAACA